AUGCCUCCUGGGGACUCUCAGAUGGCGGGCCGAAGGCCUGAAGUUGCUUUCCAAGGAGUAAACCAGUGCAGCCGGGCCUCCGGACCGAAGCCUCGCCCCGGACCAGCCACUCCAAAAGUACUGAAGCGGGUGGCCAGCUUUGUUAGGAAGGCCACGUCCUGCCCUCGUCACAUGUUUGACAUGGCACUAGGGUACUGCAUGCAGCAGGUGCUGCCCCAGGACUUUGCCACCAAGCUUUCUUCACAAUUGUCAACAUGGCCUUCAGACUGGCCAGCGGAGCCAUCUGCUGGGUGGCCUUGAACCCAGGCAGGCCUCUCAGUGACUCUUCCAUGGCUCCAUCCCAACUCGCCACUUAGAGCUCCAGGAGCCACGAAGCAGGGUAAUCGUCUUUCCAAAACUCCGAGAGAAUGAAGGCAGAGAGCCCGAGGCCAGGUGGCUGCUCGCUGGGCACCACUGCUAGAAAAGCAAAGCAAAGAGACCAUGGGGCUGGGGAGGGAGCGAGCUACCAGGAAGUGCUGGCUCGACCAGGAGCACAGUUCGAGGUGAAAGCACCUUUCUGACCCGCCCUAUCACACCGUGUCCUUCCCCUGGACGCCACUCUGCCCCAGGAGAGGAGCUCGUGUUCUUCGUAAGCACAGUUCACUUGGUCAACCUUUUCCCACACUCGCCAUUCUACUGAGUGCUGGGGAGGGAGGCAGAUUCAGUUAAGACUACAAGAGUUUCGUCGGCGGUCCGACUAGAAGGCCAUACUACAGGGGUGACUGCUCCUGCUUGCCCUCGUGACCUGUGAGCCAGACCCCGCUCAUCAGAGACAGUGAAGGGAGUAAGCAGAACCCGAGUCUCCCUGUGUUGUGGGGAAAUCACAGCUCCUGCCGCCCUCCCCCUGGACGGUGUCCUUCGAUGCACGGACACAGACAACAGCAACUGGGAUUACCUGGGCUCCUUCCGUGGGGCCGCAGGCAAUUUGCAAAGCUCACAAGACCUCUCACCUCACAGAGUGCUAAGCACUAACAUCCAUGAGAGAGAAGGCUCAGGACUACUGGCUGCUGAGUAGAUGGAGGAGGGGAAGCCCCGAGGGCUAGGAUGAUAGGAACCGGCUUUAUCGUGUAUGGCCUCUCCCUGUCUACUGAGGAAGUCUGAAGGUUUCUCAAAGGGGCUUCUCGGGAGAGGGUGUGGGGUGUGGGG
rnacentral:lncRNA from 1 species